UGGGGAAUAUUGCACAAUGGGCGCAAGCCUGAUGCAGCCAUGCCGCGUGUAUGAAGAAGGCCUUCGGGUUGUAAAGUACUUUCAGCGGGGAGGAAGGGAGUAAAGUUAAUACCUUUGCUCAUUGACGUUACCCGCAGAAGAAGCACCGGCUAACUCCGUGCCAGCAGCCGCGGUAAUACGGAGGGUGCAAGCGGUAAUCGGAAUUACUGGGCGUAAAGCGCACGCAGGCGGUUUGUUAAGCCAGAUGUGAAAUCCCCGGGCUCAACCUGGGAACUGCAUCUGGUACUGGCAAGCUUGAGUCUCGUAGAGGGGGGUAGAAUUCCAGAUGUAGCGGUGAAAUGCGUAGAGAUCUGGAGGAAUACCGGUGGCGAAGGCGGCCCCCUGGACGAAGACUGACGCUCAGGUGCGAAAGCGUGGGGAGCAAACAGG
rnacentral:rRNA from 1 species